UCUGACGAUCUCUCUCUCUCUCUCUCUCAUCCGCAAACGACCGACCCGACCUCUUUACGCUGACCCGUAACGAGACGCCACGUCUGAAAGACUGCUUGUUCUCUCUCUUCUUCUCUCUCUUCUCUCUCGAUUGGAUCACGAAAGAUGUCACUGUACUCGGACUCAUUGCGCCACCUUUUCACGGCCAACGCCGACCAACCGGGAGCUAAGCAACAGCGUGGCCAUCAGACCAGAAGUUACUCGGGCCAACAACCCAUGGAUGGUGUCGAGAUCUCCGGGACGACGGGACGACGCGCCAGCAAGGCCGCCACCGCAGCCGCCGCCGCUUCUCCUACGUCCAACGCCACCGACACGACCACACAACAGCCUCCAUCGACGCAACAACCACUACCACCCCUGACGAGCACAAACCAACCGACCCCUCAUUCACAGAUCCUCACACUCCUACAACAGACGGACGACAUUCAUGCGGACAACGCAACGCACGUCACGACGGAAUCCCUCGAACGCCUCCUUGGAAGAGGACGUGACACCUACGUGGCUACAAGUGUCAAACCAAAUCGAGCCCGUUCUCGCUCAAAAGACGGACGUCCUAAACAAGUUCUCACUCCUAGAACGUAGCUUUGGGUGCGAAGCCUUAAACCUACUCACAGAACACUACCGCACGGCCAAGUCCGAGCUGCAAGGAGAGAAAGCCAAGACAGAACAACUCAUCGCCAAUAAGAUUGAGGCGGAGCAGAACGCGACCGCAAAAUCGAGACAGACGUGUCUAGUCCGAAUACACGCAGCCGAUCUCGACUGUGGGUGUGUGUUCGACUUCGGUAUCGCAAUGGUGUCGUGUUGUAUGUGUGUCUAGCGAUGGGUGGAGAGUGCAUCUUGCGUGAGGUGAAGGUCCGAGCGUGCAGUCGUGCUGUGGCGUGACUUCUGUUUACGACGUAUCUACCGACGGUGGCGGAGGCGUCGGAGUGUGGACUUAGGACUAUUCUGCACGGCGGAACGCGACACUGGUGUGCGAUUUAUGACACGAUUUAUAUUCGUAACGAUGCUAUCAUUGGUCGUAUUGGCUAACGUUAUUAGAGCGUUAGAAGUAGAAUUACUGUCUGUCAAUGGUUUGUCUUUCGCUUCGUUUAGCGUGUGGUAUUGGUCGUAUUUCUUUCGGCGUCGUUGCCGUAAGUGGUUGUUGUGGCCGUUUCCGCUGUAUUGCGUCUGGAGCGAUCUAUGUUUGGAUACAAAUAAUACAUGUUCAGCGUGUGCACCAUCAUAA